AUGGCUGCUUCAGAUACACAUUUUCGUUGCACAGGUUCAUCGUCGAUUCCAAGCACCGAGCACAUAUUUUCUUCUGUUAUAGGAACAUCAAUUUCGUCAUCAUUCAUUGGUGCUAUCUCAAUCUGGGACCAAUCAAUGCCUCCUUCUGUUGUUGGUUCAUCAACGCCAUAUGGGAGGGAGGGUCUGAGGCCGAAGGGAGGACCAAAUGCUUACCAAUCUGGAGCAUCUUGUGGCGAUCCAUGGAUACAGGAGUUGCCUCGUCCGGCACUCUGUGGAAUCACCUCGCCGGCUGCUGGUGUGAACCCUCGCUGUCCAGGGGUCGCCAGAGUUGAUGGCUUGGUGGCCGGCUGUCCAGGGGCCGCCGGAGUUGACGGCUUGGUGGCCGGCUGUCCAGGGGCCGCCGGAGUUGACGGCUUGGUGGCCGGCGGUGCAUCCACCUAUCCGCUGGGCACGGACAUGAUGAUGCAACGUAAUAGAAUCAAUCUACGAUUUCUUGAUCAGUUGGUUCUGUUGUGUAUACCAACGUAA
rnacentral:rRNA from 1 species